CAUAUGAUGAUUGAUAAUUCUAAUACCUAAUAGAUACCAAGUAUGUGGCAUCUUCAAUGCCUGUUUGGAAUAUUAGACUCAUUAUCAUACAUCUUAAUGGGAGGUUAUGAACAAGUUAUCUCUAUAACUGCAUCAUUUUAAGGACAUAAUAAUUUAAAAAAUUUGAUUUUAUUGAUUUAAGAAUAAGAGAAGAAAUUAAUCUACAAGUCGUAAAUCCUUCCACUGACCUCA
rnacentral:lncRNA from 1 species